rnacentral:rRNA from 1 species
GACGAACCGUGCGAACGUUGUUCGGAAUCACUGGGCUUAAAGGGCGCGUAGGCGGGCCGGCGAGUCGGAGGUGAAAGCCCCCAGCUCAACUGGGGAAGUGCCCUCGAUACUGCCGGCCUGGAGGGGGGUAGGGGCGUGCGGAACUUCCGGUGGAGCGGUGAAAUGCGUAGAUAUCGGAAGGAACACCGGUGGCGAAGGCGGCACGCUGGGCCCACCCUGACGCUGAGGCGCGAAAGCCAGGGGAGCGAACGGG